CCAGCACACGUCUUAAGGAAACCAUCACUUUAACAAGACCACAGCAAGAGACAGGCUACAAAAUGACAGGUCUCCAAUGGAAUGCAGAGGGGUUCUGAUGGAGAGAUAUAGAGAUAUAACCAUCCUCCUUGGAGCCAUUCAAGCAAGGGAAACAAGGCCAAUGUCUUCAAUUUUAUUUUGAAGUGAUGUUUUUAAAAGACCACUGUGUGCUACAGCAGGAAGCAAAGUCAGUACUGAAGAAAAACAACUGAAAUGUCACAGGAUCCAGUUGCAAUCUAUCACCUGAAACUGAAGGCUGUUGGGCAGUUUGGUAUUUAAAAGGAAAGCAGAAUCUGUUAAUUUCUGCAAAAGAUGGACCAUUGAAAAGUGCAGUGGGAGGGUGGCGUAGAGAAAAGUCUAACGUGCCACCCAGUGCUCUAUGUGAUCUCCCCACCCUUCACAGUGUUGAAUUCCCCAAGUGCCCUCUGGGUCCAGGUUCUUCCACAGGAGUGUGGCGAGUGAAAUAUUACUCAUAGAAGAGAAGACAUGGAUAGAAAGAGAGAGGAAAGCCGCAUGUCCCUAGCAAGAAAGAAGAAAUGAGAGACCACCUGAAAACAAGCCGCGAACCUGCCAGAGAGGGUGAGAACGAAGAUCCUCCCCAAGAAGACAGAGACCAGAGAAUGAGUAAAGGAUGAAUAGAGGAUGAAUAAAGAGUCCCUUAAGAGGGUGAAAUCACCUGGCCAAGACAAGACCCAGACAGACUUCUAACAGUGAGGUGAUGAAGCCCAGCUCUCACACUCUUCACUGCUUGCUUGUACUGAAAGCUGCCUGUUCUUUGAGCAUGCCAGAUGGAUCAACAGCACCCUGGGCAGACUAAUCUGGCCGUCUGAUCUUUAGGAAAUGUGGUGAGAGAGACUCAGUUAAUGGUGGGGGACAUUCAAUUGUCUUUUAAAAUGCUCUGCGGCAGAUCAAUCUGUAAAUAAAUUAAUAAAAUUCAAAGAUUACUAAAAUAAUGGCUGUCUCAAAGAGACUGUGGUAGCCCCCUGCAGGGUAUUUUAAAUACUACUCUCUCUUGCUUUCUGUGGCAAUGGGUGUGGGUUUACUGUGUCACAGGGGAGUAUUGUGAGGCUGUGUAAUAACACAACAGUGGUCAUGCUGAUCUAACAUUAAGCUGGAUUUCACCUGUUCCAAGGUACUUUAAAAUCAUUUAUAUACAGUAUAUUGUGUCUUCGCCUUGUGACACAACAUGGUAUUUUUAAUAAUUAUGUUUUAAUAUACAACAAAUGAAAGUGUGAUUAAUUAAAACAUCGAGGAACAUGCCUAGCAGGAAAGGACCCAGUAAUGUUUCUAGGAUGCGUUACUGUGAAACACAGACAAAACGGAUUUACUGUAUGACAGCUAUUAAAGACAGCUAUUUACAUGAGGCACAACAUUCACGUGUAAAUCUGUAAUUUAAUUAUGGAAUUGUCUCAGAGCAACACAGGCAAUGUGUUAUCAGUAGUGCUUUGAACAACGACAGAGAUUGUUAAAACCUUGUUCCAGCUCAUAAUCAGCAGCAACAGCUGUGGCAGAGGAUCACAGGAAGAAUAUUAUGACAUAAUCUCGCUCCCAGGGUGCUGCCUGCAGAGAACUCAGAACAAUAAAAGUUUCCACUGUCCAAGACAGCACAAGGGCCUGGAUAAGCAUGUGCCUAUUUCCUGAUCUCCGAGUCUUGGGUGCAGUGUGUCACCCCAGCUCACUGAGACUCAUGUCUGGUGAGCAAGUCGCCCCUGGCAUUGCUACAGUAUACCACACAUCAACUCCUCUCAGAAGAAAGCCAUAGUUACACAAGUACUGUAGCGUCGAAUGGAUGAGCACGCAGGAUGGGCACAAAGUGAUGUGACAGGACAUGAUCAAUGUACUGUAGCACUCUGAAGUCACUACCAGUAGAGUUCUGCAGCACACAGACACUCCUACCAAGACAUGCACCCUUGGAUCUCCCCCUCGAUCUUGGAGAGGUGUCAUGACCCAUGGUCUCCCAGAUUGUGACCUGUCAUUGACGGACAACAUCUUGCCAAGACAGAGACUCCAGUCUGUGGACAACCUAGAUGACAAGCAGUGGUGUUCUGACUUAGCCCAGCUUUCAGCUUACCAAUGGCACAAAUGCAUUGCUCUCCUGAUAAGCCGGGGAUAUUGGUUUGUUUCUGCAUUCUUCUUUCUUUUCACCAGGCUUGACAUUAAGAAGGUUAGGUCUAAUUCCCUGAAUCCAAUAAACUCUCUCUAAUGAUGUGAUCUAGUGCUAUUCCUUGACUGAAUCAAUAUCCAAAAUCCAUAUAUUUUAUUCUUUUAAAAACAUGGAUAAACAUAGAUAAGUUUCUUUCGAUGGCCAGUAUACAUUUAAAGACUUUGGCUUAAUUAAUUAGGCACUUAAAUAGAAUCAGAGAGGUGGUUAUAUAACCUUAUAUAACUUUUGGCACUGUUGAUUAACAGUUUGAUUAUGACUUACAGUACUCAUAUACUACUAAAUAUACAGUAGUAUAUAUAGUAUAUAGCACAUAGCACUAAAAAUAUUGAUACUUGAAAUAUGGUUAUUGAUUGAGCUCAUUUAGCACAAAUCUUUCCUGGGAAUAUUAUGGAAAAAAAAAUAUUCAAUUUUUUCCACAAGUCUUCUGAGUCUACAGUAUACUAAAUAAAAGGCAAGCAGCUUUUUUUGUUGACAGCCACUCAAGGAAAAUGAUGCACUGGGGUAUUAAAAAUAAAACAGAUGCUAUUGACUCCAAUA